CAAGAACAUGGCAAGCACACUUCAGCAACACAGGAUCCGACCAUUUCCCCUUUGGAAAUUGUAUAACAAGGAAAGUAAGAAAGUAAGUGAAUAUAGAAAAUGCAAUGCCAGCUCUGUACCUGGGUUGCUGCAAGAUCUGGAAUCACCAUCCAGUGGCAAGAAUCUGACUGAUCAGGUAUUUAUUUUCUUUUGAUAAAUAACAAUGUAUAAUCUACCAUUUUUAGGGAUAUUAACUACUUCAAAGAGCAGUCACCAAAAACAGUAUUUAGAGGGCAUGGUUUUCCCCCAUACGUGGCCUGCAGCUCAGUUAAAAAAAAAAAAACUUGGCUCAAAGCAUUACUUUGUCUCUUUGAUAUGAUUUGAGAGAGAGAGUAAUUUGGGGGGAAACACGAUAUUCAAGUAGAGAGAAAAGCAAAAAUCCACCUGCUCCCUCCCAGGCCUCCCAGCAAAUCUGCCUCAAACUUCAAGUACCUGGCGCUCCUCCCUCCCACAGCUAAAUUCCUAGAAUUUAUUUUCUAGGAAUUUAGACAAUCCAAACUGGCUGCCUCUCCUCUCUCACCUGACCUGCCUAUCUGCUUUAAGGGUCCACUUGAAACUCAAGUUGCUCGCCAAACUUGCAAACUUACAAAUAGAAAAUGCCCUGUCAUUCGUGCCCCCCCCUUCUGACAUUCCAUCCCUCCCCACUGCCUGCCACUAUGGACAGGAGACAGAGCCCUGGCUGCCUGGCAGCUAUGUGCCCUUGAAGAGACCACACACCCAAGUAAAACACACAAGCCCAGGCCACAUUGUGCUGCAUUAAAAGGCCCAAGUUAGGGGGCUGGGGUUGUGGCUCAGCGGUAGAGCGCUCGCCUGGCAUGUGUGAAGCCCUGGUCUCCAUCCUCAGCACCACAUAAAAACAAAUAAAAUGAAGGUAUUGUGUCCAACUACAACUAAAAAAUAAAUAUUAAAAAUAAAAAGGGCCCAAGUAAGGGACUGGGGUUGUAGCUCAGGGAUAGAUCAUUUGCCUUGCAUGCGUGGAGCACUGGGUUUGAAACUCAGCACCACAUGAAAAUAAAUAAAUAAAGAUAUUGUGUCCAUCUACAACUUAAAAAAAAAAAAAGGCCCAAGCUGUCAAAAGCAUUCCCUUCAGAGGAGGGGAGGGAAAGGGGAAAGGGGUGGUAUGGUUUUGGCCAAGUUAUAUUGUUAUAUUGUGUGCAUUUACGAAUGGGUAACAACAAAUCCCACCAUCAUGUAUAAUUAUAAUGCACCAAUUAAAAAAAAAAAAAACUAAAAUCUGGCAGGUUGGAGCAGGGUAGCUUUCCCUUCAGGGGGCAGGUAGGUGUAAGUAAGUAAAGUGCCCCCUAUUGGGGGCCAAGUGCCCCUGCCACAGCCCAGUGUGUUUGCAGCUCAGCAUCAGGAGCCAUGUGAGACUCCAGGACAGGAAAGAAGGUGAAGGUGUACAGGGGCUGUUUGUGCAGCUUCUCCUGGUAAUGAACCCAAAAUAGCCACCAGGAGGGGCUUAUUCCUCAGAAAUCAAAUUGUAAACAUUCAAAAGUGUUACUAUGUAUCACAUUGUCAUAUGCAAAGCUGUCCUUUGAGGGAAGUCUGGAUAAAGGGAAAAACUGAUCCAUUUGGGGCUUGGGAAGGCACAGGGUAAAGGGUGAGCCCCUGCACCCAUUCCUUGAGAAGUUAACACCUGGCCAGGAGGAGAGUCCAGAAGUCCCACAGAAUCCCCCUUCUCACCUCCCCAGUCCACUCUGGGCCAGGUACCUACCUGCGCCCAGUCCUGCCCAGCCCACCGCCAGGCUCGCAGCCGCCCAGAGGUGGAUAAAAAUCUGCCCAGAUACGGAUGACGGAAGAGGAUGAGCCCGGGGACUGGCAGACGGGUCCCUCAGGGGGCGGAGGCAGAUGCUCCUGGGGACCCGCUCUCUUUCCCCUGGACCCUACGGCCCGGUUGCAGCAUGCGGGCGUGCGGGCUUCGGGGCGUCGUCUGUUUUCUAGUGGGGAACCUGCCUGGAUGUCGCAAGCGCGCUGUUUUACUUAGAUUGUUUAUUUGGGGCUCACCCCUCGCUCGUUUCUGUCCGUUUGAGGUGGUGGGCACGGAACCGGGGCCUCCCACACGCUGGGCGAGCGCUCAGCCCGGGCCACCGCGCCCCGCCCGGCCCCUCUCUCUCUUCUCCUCCUUUUCCCCUUCCCUCUCCACGCCCUUUUACAUUCACCCCAACUCCCCUCGACCUAGGGCUCUGCUCCCCCUCUCCCGACCCCGCCCCGCUCCUGGCCCUGGCCCCGCCCCCGCGCCCCUCCAGUCUCCGCGGUGAGGAGCAGGGGGUGGGAGCUCGCGGAGCCUGGGUUCUCCCCGGGGCUCGGCGCGGCGGCUGGAGCUGCUCUGUCCCACCCAGGAAGCGCCGAGGUCCUUUGGCUCACACCGCAGGUUGUGGGCAAGUUCUCAAAACGAGUUAAAAUCGGCCUGUGCCCUGGUGCCAAACAGGGCCGGCAGGUGCAGAGAUGCGAGGGGAAACUGUCACAAGUGGGGACAACUCUGUUCCGCCCAAAAUUGCUCUCUGGAGCCCCCCCCCCAUUUCCAGGUCCUCUCCCGGAGCACGGGCUGUCUCUUAAGGCUCCAGGUGGCCAGAAGGGUGCCCGCAGGUCAGGCUUGCGUGGUCACUCACUGGGGGUUCUGGGGCGCUGGGCGGGGCUAUUACAAUGCACAAACUUUUAUUGCUGUUUCAUUCUCCUUUGCUUUAUUAUCAUCAUGAAAAAAAUGAAGAGGGAAAAGGACCCAGUGUGGCACUGGGCAGGAGGCUGAGACCUGGAGCCCACCAUCCCCCCAAAGUGGGCACACGGGUGUUUGUACCCGCUGCCUUUCAAGGCUGGACCUGAAACCAGCCGCACAGCCAGUUCUCAAGUUUCUGUGCCCCUCCCCUUCCACCACCACCCUUCCUCUCCUGCUCCUCCAGCCCCACCCUGCUGAGCCUCACAUGCUGCUCCCCGUCAUCUUCCAGAAUGCCCGAAUGCCCCUCUCCAGCUUCUCUCCAACCCUAAAGCAGUUACACGCUGUUACUAACCGUCUCCCUGAUAUUAGAGCCAGCAGAAUGCUGUUAAGAGCACGAGUUUGUUUCUCAGUCUCAGCAGACCCCAGUGUGAAUCCUCUCUGUCAUUUAGUAGCUGUGUGACCCCCAUACACACUGCUUAACCUCUGUGAGCCUCAAUUUCUAUUAAAAGAGAAAAGUAAUUAUCAUCUCAUAGGGUUGUUGUGAAAAUCAAAAGAGAUAAGAUGUGUAACAUAUACAAUGCAUAACACAAAGUUAGCAUACACUGUAUGGAAUAGCUCACACAGUAUUCACUAUGUGCUGAGCACAUGAUAUAUGCUAAUUUACCUCAUCCUGACAAUAACGCUGUGAGGUACCAUAACAUCCCUAUUUUAUAGAUAAGGAAAUGGAGGCAUGGAGAAGUUUGAUAACUUGCCCAAGAUCACACAGCUAGGAAGCAACAGAACUGAUAGCUAUCAUUAUUCGCCUCCCUAGACUAUAGGCUCAUUGAAGAAAGGAACUUUGCACAUAACAGUUGUCCAUGACUGUUGAAUAACUACUGUUGGGGGUGUUAAAAGGUCCCAAACUACAAAUGUCAAGAGACAUAUCCCAUUUUCUAAGUUCCCAACUUCCUUAGAGAAAUCUCUUGGGGAUGGAAAAAAAAAAUUUUUUUUUCAUCAGAAAACUUGGAUUGACGUGAGUAGGGUGACUUCUCAGUUCUCUGAGUUGUGAGCCGUCAGUUCACCUCUGAGCCUCACCUUUCUGGUACCCAAAAUGGACUCAACUGUGCAGCCCGCUUUCUGGGUGGGGCUGAGAACUCCGCGUGCCAUCUCGGAUAUAAAGCCUUUUGUGAACUGGAACAACCUGUCUUUCCGAGGAGAAGGCCUUUUCAUCUGUACCUCUUCCCCAACCUUGGCCACACUUCUGGGAAGUUUUUCUGUUAAGGCCUGUCCUCAAGCUUGUGGUGGAAAAUAACAGGGGCAUUUAAAGGGAAAUGAAACCUCUCUCCUCAGCAGAACAUUCCCCACACAUUUGCUGUGGCCCAGGGCAGUGGAUCUGCAGGGAGCCUUCAGCCUUAGGGAGCCCUUGAGGCUGCCUGACGCCACAGGGCAAUUCAGAGGCUGGUAAACAACACAUGGCAUUCCCGAGCUUGGCAAACAUUCAUGCACGGAAUUCUUUGUCCUCGUGAGGAAAGACAGAGAGCUGCUCUGUGCUAAAAAGCGCCAAGCCAGAACCCCAUUUUCAAAAUCCCCAACUGGAGAGCAUGCCAAGGCUGAGCAUGCCACCAACCCUUUAAAGCGUGCUUGCAAAAUAAACUUGCCCAAACUUGGACUUCUAGCUUCAAAACCUUGAGUUUACUUAUUAAUUCCAACAGGAAAACAUAGCAAGAUUAAAAUGAGGAAAUUUGGCAACCUCCUACUUAAUUGAAAUCAGUAAACCCAUCAUGUGCCUUCUGAGGGGAUGUGCCCAACCUCACUUCUGUGGUUUUCCUGCUUCAAGACACAUAACUGAAUCAAACCAUCAACAGAUGAACUCACACUGAGGGACGACUGGCCCUAUGCUCUUCCAAGAUAUCAGUGUCCUGGAAUGGCAACAAAAAGCUGAGAAACGAUUCCAGAUUGAAGAAAUAGAGACCCGGACAGCAGGCAUGGUGGAGCAUGCCCGGAAUCCCAGCAUCUCCAGGAGGCUGAGGCAGAAGGAUCAAAAACUGGAGGCCAGCCUCAGCAACUUAGUGAGACCCUGUCUCAAAAUAAAAAAUAAAAAGGGUUGGGGAUGUAGCUCAGUGGUAGAGAACCCCCAGGGAUUCCAUCCCCAGUACCGGGGGGAGAGAGAGAGAGAGAGAGAGAGAGAGAGAGAGAGAGAGAGAGACUUCUGCUUAGUUGCCUCUCCCAGAUUGUUUCCUAAUGUCACAGCUAAUAUGCAACAGCAGAGAGCUCAGGUGGACCUCUCAAUGUGUGCUGACACCAUGCAAGUCGUGGUGUGUGCUGCCCUCCUUACUGUGGGAAGCUGGAGACAGCAGUAUUUUGGCACUGCUGCCUGUGCUCAAAACACUGCUGACAAUUUGCACACAGGUAAAUUGGUUGCACUAUAUUAUAGUCCCUCCUUGCUUUUGAGCCCAAACAGCCCAUCUACCCAACUAGCAGGCCUUGCUUCUGAAGGUAUCCUAGACUAUUAGAACCAAUAAAGACCUUGGAAAAUGCUUCACCUGUGUUGAAAACAAGGAAACAGAGGCUCCUACAUGGAUCUUAGCGGGCCUAAAUUCAGAGGUAAUCUCAGGGACUCCCGGGCCAGUGCUCCUUACAGGUCCUGAACUAGGAACCCUGGGUUCUCUCCCAGGCCCUUUGCAAAAACAAGAGAGGAAAAAUGUGCAUUUGCCCAAGGAAAAUUGUUUAUAAGUGUACAAGUGACUCUGAGGACAAUAGAAGUAAGUGUGGCACUCCCCAAGGUGACUACCGAGAACAGAACAACCAUAGAGAUGGGUAAAUGUGUUUUUUGUUUUGUUUGAAAAUUGUUACACUGCUUUUUCGAUCAUACCUUAAAUACAUCCCAUGUAUUUAAGAAACCUCAAUAUUUUAAGAAACCUCAAUAUAUAAAAAUUCAAGCUUACCAAAC
rnacentral:lncRNA from 1 species